GCCCGGAUGGUCUAGUGGUAAGUUCUGUCGAAGCAGCAUCAACUCAAGCAUUCCUUCUAACAAUUGAUAUAGGUAGGAUUCGCCCUUCGGGUUAAGAUUCUCGGAUCCUUCAAAGAUCCUGAAUUGGGCGAGGUCCCCGGUUCGAUCCCGGGUUCGGGCC